GAGAAUUUAUCAAACGUUUAAAGAAGAAAUCAUACCUAUUCUCCUAAAGCUGUUUGGAAAGAUAGAAAGAGAUGGAGUACUUCCAAUCGUUCUAUGAAGCCAGCAUCACCUUAAUUCCAAAGCCAGACAAGACCCCCGCCAAAAAGGGAAUUACAGACCAAUAUCCUGAUGAACAUGGAUGCAAAAAUUCUCAACAAGAUACUGGCCAAUAGGAUCCAACAGUACAUAAGAAAAUUAUUCACCGUGACCAAGUAGGAUUUAUCCUGGGACACAAGGCGGUUCAACACCCGUAAAACAAUCAAUGUGAUUCAUCAUAUCAGCAAGAGAAAACCAAGAACCAUAUGAUCCUCUCAUUGGAUGCAGGAAAGCAUUUUGACAAAUACAGCAUCCAUUCCUGAUUAAAACUCUUCAGACGUGGGAUAGAGGGAACAUUCCUCGACAUCUUAAAAGCCAUCUAUGAAAAGCCCACAGCAAAAUAUCAUUCUCAACGGGAAGCACUGGGAGCCUUUCCCUAAGAUCAGGAACAAGACGGAUGUCCACUCUCCCACUGCUAUUCAACAUAGUACUGGAAGUCCUAGCCUCAGCAAUCAGACAACAAAAAGACAUUAAGGCAUUCAAAUUGGCAAGAAGAAGUCAAACUCUCCCUCUUGCCGAUGACUGAUACUCUACAUAGAAAACCCAAAAGUCUCCACCCCAAGAUUGCUAGAACUCAUACAGCAAUUCGUAGCGUGGCAGGAUACAAAAUCAAUGCCCAGAAGUCGUGGCAUUUCUAUACACUAACAAUGAGACUGAAGAAAGAGAAAUUAAGGAGUCAAUCCCAUUUACAAUGCACCCAAAAGCCUAAGAUACCUAGGAAUAAACCUCACCAAAGAUGUAAAGGAUCUAUACCACAAAACUAUAGAACACUUCUAAAGAAAUUGAGGAAGACACAAAGAGAUGGAAAAUAUUCCUGCUCAUGGAUUGGCAGAAUUAAUAUUGUGAAAAUGUCAAUGUUACCAGGCAAUCUACACGUUUAAUGCAAUCCCUAUCAAAAUACCAUGGACUUUCUUCAGAGAGUUAGAACAAAUUAUUUAAGAUUUGUGUGGAAUCAGAAAGACCCCGAAUAGCCAGGGGAAUUUUAAAAAAGAAAACCAUAUCUGGGGGCAUCACAAUGCCAGAUUCAGGUUGUACUACAAAGCUGUGGUCAUCAAGACAGUGUGGUCUGGCACAAAAACAGACACAUAGAUCAGUGGAACAGAAUAGAGAAUCCAGAAGUGGACCUGAACUUUAGGGCAACUAAUAUUCGAUAAAGGAGGAAAGACUAUCCAUUGGAAGAAAGACAGUCUCUUCAAUAAAUGGUGCUGGGAAAAUUGGACAUCCACAUGCAGAAGAAUGAAACUAGACCACUCUCUUUCACCAUACACAAAGAUAAACUCAAAAUGGAUGAAAGAUCUAAAUGUGAGACAAGAUUCCAUCAAAAUCCUAGAGAAGAACACAGGCAACACCCUUUUUGAACUCGGCCAUAGUAACUUCUUGCAAGAUACAUCCACAAAGGCAAAAGAAACAAAAGCAAAAAUGAACUAUUGGGACUCAUCAAGAUAAGAAGCUUUUGCACAGCAAAGGAUACAGUCAACAAAACUCAAAGACACCUACAGAAUGGGAAGAAGAUAUUUGCAAAUGACAUAUCAGAUAAAAGGGCUAGUUUCCAAGAUCUAUAAAAACUUAUUAACUCAACACCAAAGAAACAAACAAUCCAAUCAGAAAUGGGCAAAAGACAUGAACAGAAAUCUCA
rnacentral:lncRNA from 1 species